UAAUGUCCAAAAUUUCACUGUACACCUGUGCAUUGACUGCUGAGGUAAUGAUUGCCAUCUCCCCUGGUCCU